GACGAACGCUGGCGGCGUGCUUAACACAUGCAAGUCGAACGGAAAGGCCCUGCUUUUGUGGGGUGCUCGAGUGGCGAACGGGUGAGUAACACGUGAGUAACCUGCCCUUGACUUUGGGAUAACUUCAGGAAACUGGGGCUAAUACCGGAUAGGAGCUCCUGCUGCAUGGUGGGGGUUGGAAAGUUUCGGCGGUUGGGGAUGGACUCGCGGCUUAUCAGCUUGUUGGUGGGGUAGUGGCUUACCAAGGCUUUGACGGGUAGCCGGCCUGAGAGGGUGACCGGCCACAUUUGGACCGAGGAUCCGCCCAGGAUCCUACCGGAGGCCAGCGUUGGGGAAUAUGGCACAAGGGCCGAAGCCUUAAUGCGCCACCCCCGCUUCCGGAUUACCGCCCUUCGGUUUGAAACCCCCUUCGGCCUGUGCCGAGCCUUAGUUACCGUAAUUGGGUAAAGAACCACCGCUUACCUCCUU
rnacentral:rRNA from 1 species